GUUGAAAUUUUAAAUAGUUAAUCAUUAAAAGGGUCAAUAGAAGGUAACAUUUGAGGAUAUACCCUGAAAGAGGUGAUGGAGUAAGCCCCACUAAUAACUGUGGAAAAAAAGUUCCAAGGAUUAGAAAUAGCAAAUGCAAAGUCUCCGACGUGGGAAUAUUGUAGGUAUAUUUAGGAGUUGUGAGGAGACCACCAUGGUUUGAAUGAUUCAACAGGGGAGAAGUAGGAAUUUGGACUUCAGAAUAAGCCUACAUUAGAAGAAAAAGGUAUCAAGUAUCUGAAUAACCACACUCUGAGACUCAUUUUACUUACUGAAAACUUAAAGAGCGGUUUAUGUCAGUUGAAAGUUGACAAUAUGCAGAGAACUCUGAAGAGAAGUAAGAAGUACCCAGUAUGAUGCUCUGAUGCAUGGAUAACUGGCUUCAUGAAUAAGAUGAAGACGCUGACGGCACCUACCUCAUUGGAUUUUUUUGAGGGGAGAAUUAUUUCAUUAGUUUGUAUUUACUUUUCAACUCCCAUCUCAAAACAAAAGGGGCCAGAUAGACACAGGAGGGGAUCCAGGUUGAAUCCACAGUCAGGAUGAUUUGUUGUAGUAGAAGCUACUUAAAGUUGCUGUUAAAAGAAGAACAAUUUCCCAAAGGAAUUCUAGGAGAUCCCUUCGGAAUGUUAGCAAUUCAAACCCAGCUUAUGAAACACUGAAUUAAAAGGCAUCUGUCUCCUAGCAUUAGCCUUCCUGUUGGUUCACA